rnacentral:lncRNA from 1 species
GUAGUUUGCUAAAGUGUUAUGAUAGUAAAUUUCUAGGACUAUAUAAUUGUCACUUGUUCCAACCAUGUCCCCCCCUUCAAACCCACCUUCAAUUUGAAUUAUAUGUGAAUUUAUCCAUAAGCAUGUGAAUUGAUAAAAACACAAGUGAAUAGUAAAACCAAAUUACAUGCUUAAUGGGUUUUUAAAAACAUGCAUAAUUAUUUUUAUUGUUUUGUAAUAUGCAUGAUUGUUGCCCACUCUAAAAGAUAAAAGAAUUUUUUUGAAACAUAGAAUGACAAAAUUACUAAGAAAUAUAUCAAAAAACUUCUGCUGACAAAAUUCAUAGUGUGGCAUUUUUACCAGUAUUUAUAUAUUUUUUCAUUCAGAUAAAAACAAACGAAAUGUCACAUGCAAAUGGGGUUCCAGAAGUAAUUGCAAUGUUGGUGAUCUAACAUAGUACU